UGUAGAGCACAUGUUAUGGUUAUCAAAGUGGUUUACUGUAAGGCUGAGGGCUAUGCAUU
rnacentral:sRNA from 1 species